AAGUCGUAACAAGGUUUCCGUAGGUGAACCUGCGGAAGGAUCAUUAACACGUUCUAAACGUAUCAACCAAACGGUUAAGUGCAAACUUAUUCCCUGUAUUCUAAAGCUGUUCAAUAAUUUCUAGUGAUGGGUAAGUCUUUCGGGACUUACAGGAAAUAUUGAACUAGGGUUUUGAACCCAAGGUUUUCUAAUAUAGGCUUUUCCCUUCUUUCUUUCCAUCACUUCCAACCAACCAUUUUCACCACUCUUAACUUAUGACUAAAUCUUUCGAACGAAGAAAUUUGUUUGGAAUUGUAUAUCUAACACGGUACAACUCUUAGCAAUGGAUAUCUUGGUUCUC
rnacentral:misc_RNA from 1 species